AUCAUUCCAUUCGCCAACAGACGUAAACCCCUGUCCGUCCUGAUCUACCGCCUGCUCGGUAAGUUGGGUGAGAGCGUUGGGGCCAGCGCUGAACCAAGCCUCGCCGGGUGUAUUCCACGCCACCGCUCUGCAGAAGGCAUGCCAUGCCAUAGGCCAAAUUAAAGUUCUGCGUGUGCAACUCGUGCCGGCAUCAGUGCCGCCCGCGUUUCACCGCCGCACUCCUCCUCGCCGCGUACCCACAGCACGCCCUAAGUGGCUCGGGAAGCACACCGACUAGCCACCUGUCCUUCCACUUCCACACUUCCACGCCCCAGGCCGCCUUGCCUGGACAAAGACAUCUCAAUUGCAAUUUUCUGUCCCUUCGGAAAUCCGCGACCCGCACCUUCCUUCUUUUGUUGUGGAUCAUCGUCUGAUAAAUCAGGCUCGA
rnacentral:lncRNA from 1 species